rnacentral:rRNA from 1 species
CAGCAGGCGCGAAACCUUUACAAUGCACGAAAGUGUGAUAGGGGGAUACUCAGUGCUUACGAUUAUGUCGUAGGCUUUUGUCGAUCGUAAAUAGAUCGGCGAAUAAGUGGUGGGUAAGACCGGUGCCAGCCGCCGCGGUAACCCCGGCGCCACAAGUGGUCAUCACGAUUAUUGGGCCUAAAGCGUUCGUAGCCGGUUUGGUAAAUCUCUUGUGAAAUUGUUCGGCUUAACCGGACAGCGCGCAGGGGACACUGCCAGACUCGAGACCGGGAGGCGUAAGAAGUAUGGCAUGGGGACUGGUAAAAUGGGAUAAUCCAUGCUAGACUACCGAUGGCGAAGGCAUCUUACGAGAACGGAUCUGACGGUGAGGAACGAAAGCCAGGGGAGCGAACCGGAUUAGAUACCCGAGUAGUCCUGGCCGUAAACGCUGUGAGCAAGGUGUCGCGUAUUUCAUGAAGAUGCGCGGUGUCGAAAAGAAGUUGCUAAGCUCACCGCCUGGGAAGUACGGUCGCAAGACUGAAACUUUAAGGAAUUGGCGGGGGAGCACAAGGGCGAAUCGC